AUUGAACGCUGGCGGCAGGCCUAACACAUGCAAGUCGAACGAGUGGCGGACGGGUGAGUAAUGUCUGGGAAACUGCCUGAUGGAGGGGGAUAACUACUGGAAACGGUAGCUAAUACCGCAUACCAUCAGAUGUGCCAAGGUGGGAUUAGCUAGUUGGGGGGGUAACGGCUCACCAAGGCGACGAUCCCUAGCUGGUCUGAGAGGAUGACCAGCCACACUGGAACGGAGACACGGACAAGACUCCGAAGGGAGGAAGCAGUGGGGAAUAUGGCACAAUGGGCGCAAGCCUGAUGCAGCCAGGCCGCGUGUAUGAAGAAGGCCUUCGGGUUGUAAAGUACUUUCAGCGGGGAGGCGUUACCCGCAGAAGAAGCACCGGCUAACUCCGUGCCAGCAGCCGCGGUAAUUC
rnacentral:rRNA from 1 species